UACGGGGGGAGCAAGCGUUGUUCGGAUUUACUGGGCGUAAAGGGCGCGUAGGCGGCACUGCAAGUCGACUGUGAAAUCUCCGGGCUUAACCCGGAAAGGUCAGCCGAUACUGCGGGGCUAGAGUGCAGAAGGGGCAACUGGAAUUCUCGGUGUAGCGGUGAAAUGCGUAGAUAUCGAGAGGAACACCUGCGGCGAAGGCGGGUUGCUGGGCUGACACUGACGCUGAGGCGCGAAAGCUAGGGGAGCGAACGGG
rnacentral:rRNA from 1 species